GGAGGGUGCGAGCGUUAAUCGGGAAUUACUGGGGCGUAAAGCGCGCGCAGGCGGCUGGGUCAGUCGGAUGUGAAAGCCCCGGGGCUUAACCUGGGGAAUUGCAUUCGAUACUGCCUGGCUAGAGUAUGGGAGAGGGAAGUGGAAUUUCCGGUGUAGCGGUGAAAUGCGUAGAUAUCGGAAGGAACACCAGUGGCGAAGGCGGCUUCCUGGCCCAAUACUGACGCUCAGGUGCGAAAGCGUGGGGAGCAAACAGGAUUAGAUACCCUGGUAGUCCACGCUGUAAACGAUGAGAACUAGAUGUUGGGAGGGUUAGCCUCUCAGUGUCGCAGCUAACGCGUUAAGUUCUCCGCCUGGGGAGUACGACCGCAAAGGUUGA
rnacentral:rRNA from 1 species